GCUGGGCAUGGUGGUGUGUGCCUGUAAUCCCAGCUACUGGGGAGGCUGAGGCAGGGGAAUGGCUUGAACCCAGGAGGCGGAGGUUGUAGUGAGCCAAGAUUGUGCCACUGCACUCUAGCCUGGGUGAUAGAGUAAGACUCCGUCUCAA
rfam:Gorilla gorilla gorilla genomic chromosome, chr1, whole genome shotgun sequence